rnacentral:rRNA from 1 species
UCUGGCUCAGGACGAACGCUGGCGGCGUGCUUAACACAUGCAAGUCGAACGGAAAGGUCUCUUCGGAGAUACUCGAGUGGCGAACGGGUGAGUAACACGUGGGCGAUCUGCCCUGCACUUCGGGAUAAGCCUGGGAAACUGGGUCUAAUACCGGAUAGGACCACGGGAUUCAUGUCCUGUGGUGGAAAGCUUUUGCGGUGUGGGAUGGGCA